GGGUCUUUAGCUCAGCAGUAGAGCGGCAGACUUCGGUUGAUUCUGAAGUAACGUUCGUCGGACGUGUAUUCUGCAGGUCGCGGGUUCAAUCCCCGUAGGACUCU
rnacentral:tRNA from 2 species